UAUGGGAGGCCGAGGAGGAAGGAUCGUUUGAGUCCAGCCCUAGGAGGUGGUGCCCUUAUUAGCUGCAUAGGUCGUUUGGGGAAACUGACGCUCAGAGAGAUGAAGGGACUUGCACGAGGUGACACACAUCUACAGUGGUGGUAAAGCUUCAAGUAACCAAAUUAGGAUAUCUCCAGCUCAAGAGCCAUUGUACUGAACUACUCAGCUAGCAUUUGUCCAAAGUUGAAAAUAUAAAUUCCAGAAUGGACCCAUUGAAUCCAAA